UAUAGGUAAUGCGUUUGUUA
rnacentral:misc_RNA from 1 species